rnacentral:lncRNA from 1 species
UUUUUUUUUUAGUUUUGGCGAAUAAAUGUUGGGCUUGUCAUCUGGGAAAACAGCAAUAGCUAUAAACUAGUUCGGAGGCUUUCAUAACUGACUAAUGCUAUUUUAUGCAGAAAAUAUUUGUUUUCUGCUUUGGCUUUGGAGACCAAAGUGCAGAAUUGCAACAAACAUUUGCUCCUAAAAUAUUUCGGUCAGUGGAAAACCUUGAAGUCAUUAAUGGUUUCUGGACCAGCAAUUAAUUAAUCAACAAUGCCUCAAUUCUGAACUAGCUGGGUCAACUAUAUAAAUUUUCUACAUCCAUCAAUCUGAUCAUAGGCGGAAUCUUCAAAGCGUAAAGCCGUGAACUUUAUACUACGAAGUCCAGGAGUAGAAUUGAGUCCUUUUUUUUUUGAUGAGAUAAGUUGCUUCAUUGCAAGCAUCAAGAAGGUAGAAUUGAGUCCUAGAAUUCUUUAAUCGCUUAAAAGUAAUUAUUCAUAUUAUCAUUUAAAGGAUAAACUUUAUGCACAACCUAUCUUACUCAGCUAGAUGAAUAAUGCAAGUUAGUUUGCAAUGGCUUGGUGGGUUGCCACCUCUGAGUCAUUUGUAACUGCCAAAUUGAUUUCCACAAGUAAAGGCUACCAAGGUUGGGCAAGAGGAUAGAUGGAGAGAAUAAAUAAGGUGACAGCAAUAUGAUCAUGACAAGAACAGAAGGCUGGUUACUCCUUUUCAAUUUUUCAAGUAAAAGUAACAGCCCAUUGCCUGUUAAGUGCCUUUCAUAGUACAUUGUACAGUUGAGACUUGACUGCUGGCUCUUCUACUAUAAUUUUGGUUGAAUCCGUCCUUGAUUCAAGCUUCUUGAAAUUUGUUAAGAAAAAACUUUUAGUUACUAAGACAACAUCAAUGCAUACUAAACAGUACUCUCUAAUGUGCAUAAGGACAAUGACAGAAAAGCUUGAAACAUAUCAUGCACCGGCCCUGUUUAUUUAGAUUAUAGUAAGGAGGAUUUUUCUGGAUAAAGAAAAUCAUUAGUAAAAAGGUAUAGAGAAUUAAAGGAAAUUACUUAUCAACAGAAGAAAAAGCAAAAUUAUAAUACUCCAUUAUUUAUUAGUAUUGUUUAUAUUAUUGUCAUUGUUUUUUGUGGUGAGAAGAAUAUAGCAACCGAUAAUAUAUCAUAUAUUAAAUUCUUUCCCUAAAGAUGACUAACCUUUGCGGCAAUGCAUGUUCCAUCAAAAGCUAACUUGGCCAAAGAAAGCACCCGAUCUGCAUGGUCAACCAGAACUUGAGAGUACCAGUUGAGGAAAAACCGACCAUAAUAUCCAUCAUAAUCACCCCCGUCACAAAAGAAUCCAGUCUCUUGUGGCUGUGAAUUGUAGGAACCAGCAUUAUCGGGUCCUCGUGCCCAGAAUGAGUGUCCUCUUGCUUCAGCCGCCUUGCGCAGGCUUUUCAGCAAAUACUGGUCGUAACACUAUGGGAGACAAGAAAGUCAUAUUGAUGCAAUAAAUGGUCACAAGGAUGUGAUUGAAAUACACAUUUUGGCUAUAAUUUUUGACAGAGAUCCUAACAACUAGUGCAAUCACUUAAGAGGAGAAUAAGUGCUACAACAACAUCUAAGCAAAGAGAGGUAGACAAAGCUUUUCCUUUGAGAAAUGCAUAUUUUUAGUCACUCCAAAACAUAAUAGCCGACAAAAUGUCUAUUUUUUGUAUGUUAGCGAAUGCAAUUAGUUCCGGCCGACCUACCAAUUUUGUAUUUUGCCCUUUCUUUUUCAAGUCUGACUUCAUGCAGGAAUAUGGUGAUGCAUAAACAGAUNNNNNNNNNNNNNNNNNNNNNNNNNAAAGAUUUGACAAUCAAAUCCUUUUGCAUGGCAUUCAUACAAAUCUAAGCUACUGCCCUCAACUUAAAAGAGAAUAAGGAAAAAAAUUACCUGGAAUUCACCAACUCCAGGAUACCUCCAGCCAUGCUUUACAGGAUUAGAGGGAUAUCUUAGUUCCCCACAUGGGCCUAGUCCUACUUCAACCAUGGAAAUAAUACCAUCCUCAAAGAACUCAUCAAAUUCAACUCGAAAGCUUCUCAUAUAAUCAAAGUAGACCUACAUUGGUCAAAAAGACAAACAUCUGGGUAAGAUAUACAAAGGUAGUCACACAAAGAAGAAAACUGGAGUUCUAUGAAUUUUAAAACCUCUUGAAAGAAAUCUAAUAUGCAAGUAUAGCAUGGCACAAAUCUUCUCAAAAGAGAAUAUCCACAUCUCAAUUGCUGUGUUUUUCAUUUUUCUGCAGUAAUCCAUUGACAAUUCAGCAACAGUAACUCCUAAUCAAUUAUUGUCGUUAAGCAUAAAAUAUACUGAGAACAAUAAAGAAUCUCCAGAACUGACGAGUUAAAAUGGCAAAAACACCUUGUGCCAGCACUGAACCCAUGUUAGAUUUCCUGUUCAUUACAAUCACUAAUUUUUUUUUGCUAAUGAUAAAAGAAUUAUUACAAUCUAAUUAUACACUCUACAUCUUCUUUUUGCUAGAUAGAUAAAAUUGCCAUUACUUAUCACAAAAAAUAAAAAUAAAAAAAAUACAUAUUGCGCGAGCAUUAGUGGUCAGUAAAGCUUUCAACAUGAAAAAGAUUUCCAACUCGGAUUUCUGGCAAAUUUGACCGGGAGCAAAAUUGGAGGUUUUUGUGGUCAGUAGAGGCUGUUCGUCGGCCCCAUCCUCAAUCCAAAAAGAAUAAAGAAAGAGAAAUGUUCUCUUAACCUCAAAAUAACUAGAAGACAUUCAUUUACUACACAAAUAUUCUUCUCAUUAUCCUAAACAACUAGGGCAUAAUCAUAAGAGUGCAUUCUGACCGAGGUCGCAUAACAUACCUCUACAGCAGUGCGCCCUUUCAAAACCCGCUCUUUAUCAAUUCCCACGAGAGACAUUCAGGGUUUCGCCGUCCUGCUCUGUCUGUAAAAUAUAUAUCAGGAUUGCUUCCGACCCGAUUUCAGGAUACCCAGUGAGGCAGUGNNNNNNNNNNNNNNNNNNNNNNNNNGGCAGUCUCAGUGAUAAAAGAAUUAUUACAAUCUAAUUAUACACUCUACAUCUUCUUUUUGCUAGAUAGAUAAAAUUGCCAUUACUUAUCACAAAAAAUAAAAAUAAAAAAAAUACAUAUUGCGCGAGCAUUAGUGGUCAGUAAAGCUUUCAACAUGAAAAAGAUUUCCAACUCGGAUUUCUGGCAAAUUUGACCGGGAGCAAAAUUGGAGGUUUUUGUGGUCAGUAGAGGCUGUUCGUCGGCCCCAUCCUCAAUCCAAAAAGAAUAAAGAAAGAGAAAUGUUCUCUUAACCUCAAAAUAACUAGAAGACAUUCAUUUACUACACAAAUAUUCUUCUCAUUAUCCUAAACAACUAGGGCAUAAUCAUAAGAGUGCAUUCUGACCGAGGUCGCAUAACAUACCUCUACAGCAGUGCGCCCUUUCAAAACCCGCUCUUUAUCAAUUCCCCACGAGAGACAUUCAGGGUUUCGCCGUCCUGCUCUGUCUGUAAAAUAUAUAUCAGGAUUGCUUCGACCGAUUUCAGAUACCCAGUGAGGCAGUGGAAUACAAACAUCAUCACCAAUGUUACCUCCACAUUCAUGGAAGGACAUCACAACCUGUUUUCAGAUAAAACCUCAAUAAUUUGCAGUCCAAAUGAUGCAAUAACUAUGGUGACAAUCACAAGCCCCGAAAGAUCACUUCCUUUAAAAAUUGUAAUAUUCAGAUAGAAAUUAAUUGAAGUCCUUAUCUUAAAUAUUUGAUGGUAAAAGGAUCAUCUUUUCCCCAUUAUUACACUCAUUCACAAUUUCACAUAAACCAAUAAUGGGAUAAAGUGGAAGAACAAGGGAGUCACAACAAAGCGCGUGUGAAUCUCACCUUUAUUUUGAGUUUAUGCUCCCUCACAACUUGAAACAGCCUUUUAUAUCCAUUCCAGUUAUAAUCCUGUGGAGCAUUUGCCUCUACUAUGCCCCACCAGCAGUCCACCAUCACACCAUCAACAUUUAUUGACUUUAACACUCUCAGUUGCUUCACUAGACCAUCCGCAUCAACAAGCUCAGACUUCAUAUUAAUCACUCCUAACUGCCAAUAUAACAUGGAAAAAAGCAUCAGGUUAACCACAUAUGACUUGAGGAAAGCUGUACAACAAUAAAUUCUCCUCUUCUAAAGGUUUAAUAACAAUGCAAGUGGAAUGAAGACACAAGUUACACAUGUCAAAGGAUCAAGUUGCUAGAGAAACAGAGAUGAGAUACAAGAGGCCCCUGAACAGUAAUUGACAAAAGGGAAGAAUAAGGAAGAAUUAACAAGGUUCAAGUUCAGAAACCUCACAGGUAGCAUAACAUAAACAGGAAUGUAGGGUGUCCCAGCAAAAUCACGCUUCUGUAACUUUGUGUGUAUGUCAAUAACCUAACAAAAUAUUUCAGAAACAUCAACAAUAGCAGAAUGCUCUUAUAGGCCUGUUGAAACAGCAAAACUAAAGUUCCAAAAGUAUUCAAACAAAAAUGUCAAUUUCACACAUAUGAUACUAUCCACCACCCAUACGGGAUUGCCAUGGUAAUUUUUUAUUGUUUUGGUACUUCAAGAUAUUUCACGCAAAUGUAUUGGCAAAGUGAAAAUGUAUUCCUAAAUAAUUUACAAGUUUUACAAUACGUUAAGCCACCCAUUUCACCUGCUUGUCAAGUGAAUCCCCAGACCCUACAAGAAAUGGGUCAUUUUGUGUGUCUUGUCCAUCUGCAACCAUGGCUGAAGUUUGCGAUCGGGCAGUGGAGGAUGAAUCAUAAGGGGAUGAAGUAGGUAUAAACACACUUUUCACUUGACAGGCACUGUGAUCGGCUGUGUUCUGAAACCCAGAAGGCGUGCCUUUCAACGAAGCAGGUGGAGUAUGUUGUGUUGGUAUAUGUGAAGAUGAUGAAGUCACCAUUGUGGUGGGUGUCCCACCAGUAGCUCCAGUGACCUGUAGAUGUUGAAAAAACAACACCAUAUUGAGUUUUCUUGGGAUCUACUAGAAACAAAAUAAUAUUGAUGCAUAUGCCCCGUUGACAAAUUUCCUCCGUAACGCUAAAUUUUUCAUCUUGCCUAACUUAAACUCCAUGAGACUAUCUGUGAACUUUGUUAUAUUGGAAAAAGAUAAGAAAUACUUUGCUUAGAAUGGAGGAGGAGAGUUACCUGUGAAUGUGAUUUUGAGGGAAAGGUGGUUCCAUCUGGAAGGACAACCCAGCCUGCUUCCCUUGCCAAAGCAGCAAUAACAUCAUUGAUAUCAGCCCUAACUCUAAGGUUAUAGUUCCCGUGCCUUCGGAGACCAGCCAAGAUCUUAGCAGUAAUAGCUCUACGUUGUCGCUCCCUAAGCUUUGUUCGUUCCUUCUCUUCUAAUGGCCUACAUCUACGAGAUCCCCCUUGUGGGGUUGGCGGCUCUUGAUAUUGCUGAUGGUGUUGAAACCUAUUACUGCUGCUAGAUCCAUGUGCCCCAUCGAAACCUGCCAUUGCAUUAAAGGUGCCAUUCUUAUCUUCAUCAUCAUCAUCCUCAUCAUCUUCUUCUUUCACAUCCAUCUCUUCGUCAUCUUCAUUUGUAUCAUAUCUCUGCAUCUCUGAUGCCAUUUUCAAGCUUUUCUUUUUCCACUUCGUUUGCUUGAGCUUUAUUACAUUUCAAACUUCACAUGCAGAUGACAUUCUACUAGCCCAGCGUCAUGCUUCAGCAUAAUAAUUUGACUAAAGUAUUUCAGAAGACAUUUUUUAGAGGCUUGGCUCUUUAGCUCCCUGGUUUAGCAAAAAAUUUCAAAGUCAAAAUAUCAAUAUGAUUAGACCACAAAAAGCAUUUCAAAGGAAAGACAUGCAGAACGGAGCCACUACUUCAGGUAUUCCAUUAGGACAAAUGACUACAGAAAUUCUGAACACCUAAAUCCAACUUACAACAAAUAGGAAUCUCAUGCUUCCAAAAUGCAAGUCAAUAUUCAUGCAGGUUUAAAUUUUAUAAACUACUGCUAACAAAUAAUAAGAAAUUCUACACUAUUAGAUUACUUAAAAACAAUUAAGAUAGUCUACAAUAUGCAUGUUUGAUAACAGUAAGUAACCUGCUACAACUCGUUAAAAUUAUGGAUCAUGUAAGAACACACUAUUGGGUGCGUAUAACUUAAAUCCCAUGCAGAGAAUGAAAGAACAUCCCACGCUAUUGCUAUCUUCCCAAAACCAUACCAACUAUCCAUCUACUUCAACUAUCUGAGCUAACAAAUAAGCAUGAUCUUUGGCACCAUCCAAUGAAAGCUCAAUUUUUGCUUAUACUACCACCUUUUUAGUUUUUAUAAUCAGCUACACCUCAAUCCCAAAUAACUUGAUCUCGGCUACAAGACUCCCUUUUCCAUUCAGCUCUAUUCAGGCCCAUUAAUAUGACCACUCUUAAGUUUGUUUACUUUUCUUUUCUUUUUUUUCUUUUCCUUUUUGCAAUGGCGUUCUAAAAAGAUGAUAAAUUUAUCCAAAAAUUCAUCCUUUAGAUCGUUUUCAGCAAUUUUUCUCAUAAGAAAAAAGAGAGAGAUGACUUACAAUGUGUCAUUUCACAUCUAAUUGCUCUGGAACAUGAACAGAAGCCGACGAGCAUCACUUGUAGAAAUCAGAUCCAUAUAAAUACAAUAAUAAAUAUUCCGGCGAAUUGGCCGGAGCAGAGUGACGGAAGGAAAAUUGAUAUUCUCUACAGAAAGAACCUGAAGGAUAGGAGAGGAAUUCGCGGGAAGUUUUUCCGGCGAAGAUCCGGCGGAACACGGCGAGCAUGCGAAGGCUAGGGUUUCUCACGCGUGUGAAGGAAGCCAAGCGUGUCUAAGCAUAUGCGUGACACGGAUGAAGUGCUUUGUGUGACCUUAUCUUCGGAGCGUGCGAUUCACACGUGGUACACGUGCCAAGCAAAAAGAGCAAGUAUUGAAGUUAUGGCUAUGGAAUGAAUGGGCAGCAAGAACAAGUCGCAGGUGUUUAUCGGGCGGGCUGGGACGGGUUGGACACAAAAAUGGUCUGUCCGUUAGAGUUACGGGCGGGUUGUUAGCAUGCUGAAGUUAACGGGCUAGUGGCGGGCUGGGAUUUUUCGGGUUCUAUAGGGCCCGUAUGGGUUCGGGCCUAGCGGGUUCGGGCGGGUCGGGCUUUCGUUUUUUUAAUAUAUUAUUUUUAACUAUCUUAUAUUUUUCUUUUAACGGUCAGAUUUAAUUUAAAAAUAAAUAAAUAAAAAUUAGGCGGUUUUGCGGGCUGCACCGUUAAGAACCCGUUAAGGGCUUAACGGGUUGUGGCUGGUUCGCGUACCCGUUUGGCGAAAACUUAACGUUACUAGCCCGCCCCCCGUCCAACCCGUCCCAACCCGCACACAUAUGCAUAGUAACGAGCUGGACCGAGCUGAACCCGGGUUGAACCGGGUUGUUAGCGGGUCAGUCCGCCCGAUUAACACCUCUUAUCAAGAAUGGGUGGAAUUAGGAAAAAAGAACAAACCUUUUGUGAUCCCAACUUUUAGGAUGCACAAGAAAUGUGAUCCUCCUUCUUAACAUAUUUAUUUAUAAGUUUAAGAUGUAAAAAUAAUUAUACUAUCAAAUCACUUAUAUAAGAUAAUUAUAAACAAAUUUUUGUAAUAAACAUUAGUUGGUAUCCUAGUAAAAUAAACUAGGUUGCUAUCAGACGAUAAAUUGUACCAUAAUAUAAAAAAUUAUAAUAUCAAUGUCUAUAAUUAAAUUCUUUAUUUUAAUACAAUUUAAGAUUGUUUGCAUUGUUUGUUAAAAGAAUUUGCCUAGUUGUAAAAUCUGAGUACUCCAUUGAAAACAACCAACUUCCAUAUUUUCAUCACCCACUAACUUCCAUGUUUUCAGCUUAGCAUCCCAUUGCAUUUCAGGAGGGCUAAGGACCAACUGUUCAACAAGAUUAACCUGUUCUUUCUGUUCAUCAAGAAUAUACAAGCCAUUUUCAUUAGAUAUAUUUGUCCAAGUUCAAAAGAUUAUAGUACAAACAAGGGAGGGGUUCCAAAAUACAUGAUAUCCGAAAAUUAGGCUACUGUUUUAACCAUCACCUAUUCAUUGCAAUAGAUUAUGGUUUCCUAGCAAUCAAUUUUCCCCAUAAUUCUUUUUCCUCGCAUCUUCUUCUAUCCAGAUAGUUGUACACCUCUAAAGAAGAAUGCGUUCAUUCUCAAUUAGAUGUGGCAAAAUGAUUAAAAGAAAACAGUUAUUCACCCAUAUUAUCCGUUAAAAAUGGGUUGGAUAAUGAAUUUUUUUAAAAACGAAUCGAAUAUGGAUAAUAAUCAUAUUAUCAAUUUAGAAAAUGGUUAACCAAAUGGAUAACUAAUAUGCUUAACUUUUAUAUUUGUAAAGCCUCAAAUUAGGGAUUCCUCAAGUUUAGGAGACUAGGAAUCAUCCCAUAAGACGGAUAACCUAUUUUUUAUCCGUCUCAAAUACGGGUCGGGUCGGAUAAUUUUAUCCGUUUUUUGAAUUACCCGUUUUUGACAUGCUCAUAUCCGACCCGACCCGACUCGUUUGCCACCCCUACUCUCAAUCAUAGAUUACAAACAACUCACUACAUUUUAGUUGGUAGUUGCAUAGAUUUUUAGUGAAUCCUCAACAAUUUUUCUUUAUGCAUCCUCUGCACAAGUUGUUCAAACUCCAUGAGAUUGUGUUUCUCCAAUAAAGUUGGGCUCAGCCUGAGGUAAGUAAAAGCCGAUAAGUGUCUACUAACUGGAUCAUUCAAAUGCUAGGCAUUUAUCAUGACCUUGUUGUAACCUUCUCUAUGGUAACACGAAGGUGCAUUCUCACUAGCAAUUGUUGUGUUGACAUCCCAUGCAACAUUUAGGACCUGCAAUUUUGUGAAAUCCUUUUGAACAAAGAGAGUGAUGCAGAGAGCUAGAGACAACACAUGAAAAUUACACUGCGCUAUCAAUUUAACAUCAAACUUCACCCAAAUCAACUUUUUCAAAAACUAUUUGGGAAUCUGUGUCCAGACAUGUCCUUAAUAUAAUUCUUAUUUGAUUACUUAGAAUUCUUAUUCAAACAACUUCGAAUUUUAAAAUUAGAAUCUAAAAAAUUAAUGAGGGUUUGAAUAAUUUCACAAAUAACGCGUUUGUUUGAUAUAACCAUUCUAUUAGAAAUUGAAUAUGGAAAAGGCCCAUUUAUGUCAGCGAACUAUACGAAAUUGAGCACAUUUGCCCGUCGUUAAAAGGUGGUGUCAAUCAUGCCCUUGCCGUGUAUAAGGUGGCUCACAUAUGCCAUAUUUUAGACGGACAACCCUAAUAAAAUAAAUAGCACUGGAUUUUGUCACGUGUCACAAUCUGGCGCAAUCCACUAUACCUUAAUUUAAAUAACAAACCAACACGAUCCAUCACCCUUAUUUUAAUAAACCAACCGGACCUAGUACUAUAAUUUAAUAAACCCCAAUUCUAUUUUAUUUCCCCCACUCUCUCUCUCACCUCGCUUUAUUCCAAAUACCAAUUUCUCCGCAGUCGACCACACUACAAAGCUGGACCUCUAGGGUUUCGUUUUCAGAGACAAGUCGAAGGCUUAAUGCUUUUAACCGGUAUGUCAUGUUUCAGUCUUCUUCUUCUUUUUCUAUUUGUGGGUCAGAGAUUCGUUUAUUUGAAUUUUAUAUGUGGGGUUAGGGUUUCUUGCUUAUAAUGGGAUUGUUGUUUAUUGAUAUCUUUUUGGCACUUUAUCCUACUAAAGAAUAAAAUAAAAUGAAUAAUGUGUUGUAAUUGAUGAUUUUGUUGUCUGGUUGUGGUCAUUACCGUAUGUUUUUGAAUUAUUUUUACUCGAACUGGUUGUGGUCCUGCUUAUGCAUUUCUACUUACUGUUAUGGACCGUGUCACUCUUUUUAUUCCUUUGCAUGUGAUAUAAACAGAAGAUGAUGGCUAAAGUGGACUUGGUAUUUAAUUAUGGGGGUAAUUGGAUAUUUUCACCUGAAAUAGUGUAUGAUCAGAAGCAUGUGUACACUUUGUCUGGUUAUGAUGCUUGCCUUGUCAACUAUAAAAGUGUUUGUGAAGAAUUUAUCAAAAAUUUAGGAUUUAGCUUAGUCGAGCAACUUUUAGUGACUGGACCUUCGGGGAGGUACCACCUGGUAUCUGAUGAUGAUGGUGUGAGGACUCUUCAGUACUUAUUCUCUAAUGAGUUCAAUGUGAAUAACCUUUUUGCUGUGGAUGAGUUUGAAGCUAGGGUGUUUGCUCAAAAUAUUGUUCAUCAUAAAGAGAAAUAUUCUGUAGACAUUGAUGCAACUCAUGAAUGAGAAAGUAGUUUGGGUGGUGGUAUUUUUGAUGAUUUAGAAGGUUCUGACCAUGAUUAUUCAGAAAUUGAAGCUAUUAGUAAAGAAAACAGAGGGUUAUAACUGAUAGGUUAGAAUAUUUUAAGGAGCUGGAGUUAGGUAUUAUAUUUAAGGAUAUUGAAGAAGCUAGAAGGACAGUGAACUUCUAUGUAUUGGCUAAUAGAAGAGGGUUGCAGGUGAUCAAAACUGAUUCAACUAGGGCUAGCUAUAAGUGUGCUCCUGGUUGUCCAUUUAGAUGUUAUAUCUCACAGGAUGGCAAUAGUGAUAACUAUCAAAUGAAGAUGUGGAAAUAUGUCCAUACAUGUAAUCCUUGCUUCAAAAAUCCUAGGGCUGAUAAGAAUACUUUAGCAUACCUGUUUAAGAGAAAAAUAUAAUACAAUCCUCAGUAUAGCCUGAAGGAAAUAAAAGAUGAUAUAGAGAUUGGGUUUGAAUUAAAUGUGUCGAUUCUAAGCUUAAAAGGGCUAAGAAUUUGGCACUUAAGAAGUUAGAGGACAAUUUUGUUGGUGACUACAAGAAACGUGAGGCCUAUGGGCAAGAACUUAGACAAUCUAAUCCUGGUACUGAUGUUGUAGUUAAUAUUUCUAAAAAUGCUCUUGAAGAAGGGAAAAAAAGUUCUUAAGGAUGUACAUAUACUUCAAUGAAUUGAAGAUGGGUUGGAAAGAUAUCUUGAGACCACUUAUUAGGCUGGAUGGUAUUUUUCGUAAGGGGAGAUAUAAAGGCCAGUCGCUAGUGGCUAUUGGUCAAGAUAACAUGAAUCAUUUUUACCCAUUUGCAUGGGUUGUGGUAGACAAGAAAAAUGCUAGAACUUGGGAAUAAAGUUUAUUGAGCUUCUGAAGCUUUUUUUGGGAUCUAAAUGAUGGUCAUGGAGUUACUUUUAUCUCAGAUAUACAAAAGGUACUACUUUCAUCUUUUAUUUGUUCUCUUUUUCUAUUUUGUCUAGUUUUCUUUCUCACAUUUAUGUUUCUUUUUCAAUAGGGUUACUUGAUGCUGUGAGGAAUGUACUUUCUAAUGCUCACCAUAGAUUUUGUGUGAGACAUAUUGAAGCUAAUUGGCAGAAAAGAUGGGGAAAUGGACACAUGGAGAAACUUUAAUGGUGGAGUGCUUGGAGCACUUAUGAAGAAGAUUUCAAAGAUCAACUUAAGAAGCUGGGUGAAAUAUCUGAUGAUGGUGCUGCUGCUAGAAACCUAUUGCAUUAUCCACCACAAGCUUGGUGCAAAGCAUAUUUUGAUACUCAAUAUAAAAACGUGAUGGUUGACAACAAUUACACCGAACCAUUCAAUGCAUGUAUUCUGAAAGCAAGACAUGUUCCAAUCAUCAAGAUGUUAGAGGAGAUAAGGAUAAAAGUUAUGAAUUUGUUGGCUACAAAUGGAGAUGACAUUAUUAAAUGGAAUGGUGACUUCAAUCCAUAUGCUUUGAAGUUGUAUAAUGACUAUAGGAAAAUAAUACAUUACUGCUAGGUUGAGUUUAAUGGUGACUUUAGAUAUGAAAUUAGUGAAUGUGAUAAGACAUAUUGUAGAUCUUAGAAAGAAAAGAUGCACAUGUAGAGUGUGGCAAUUAUCUGGUAUCACAUGCCCCCAUGCAAUCAAGGAUAUAUUAUAUGACAAGGUAUGAGACACAACUAUAUUUUACUGAAUCAUUCUAAUGUUAUCUAAUUACCAACAUAUUUUUACUUUGGUAGGAUGAGCCACUGUCACAAAUUCACUGGUACUAUAGCAAAGAGGCAUAUUCAUUGACUUAUAAUCACAAACUCCAGCCAGUUAGGGGGAAAUUUUUUUGGAAAGUAGAACCAGCUCAUGCAAUGAAAUCUCCUGAUAUUUCCAAGAAUGUGGGUAGACUUAGAGCGAAGAGAACCAGGGAAAGCAAAGAAGAGGGUAGGGAGUGGAAUUACUCAAGGAAGAGAGUUAUGAUGACAUGCAACAAUUGUGGUGGUGAAAAUCACAAUGCUAUGGGUUGUUUCAAGGUAAAGAAUUCUGAUGUGUCACAUCUUCUAAGAGUUUUGAUUUGUCAUAAUUCAAGGAAGUUGUCACAUCUUCUAAUAAUUUUUUUUGGGUGCCAGGAGAAAACUAUUGCAGAGACUUCAAAAUCAAGGAAAAAGAAACAAUAGAAAGGUGGUUCAAGUCAAACCUCAGCUCCAGAAUUUAUACUUGCAUCUGCUGCUUCUGAAGAUGAAGGAAUGGACUUUGACAGUGAACCUGUGACAUAACAGAUAAAAGAAUUCUCUUAUACCACUACUGAUUUAUUACAAGGUUAUGGUCCUAUUAUUGGUACUAAUGGAGAUCCACCUCUAAGGCCAAUGGUUAUUGCUGAAUCAGAAACAAGACUUGUAAUUAGAAAGCUGAAUGUAAGGCCACCAACAGGAACAAGAAGAAUUCAAUUUUGUGAAGAUGCAUAUGGAGUGGCAGUGCCAUCAAAUUUGCCUUACUCACCAACUAAGGCAACUUGGAAGGGGAAGCCAAAUGUCACACUCAAGCAGAUCCAAGAUGAAACAAGAAAAAAGAAAAAAUUGAAGAUGGCGUCAACUUGUGAAGUUUAGCAAGUUUAGGAACUUUUUUGGGAUAAAUGUCUUUGUGUUAAGAACUUACAUUAAGGUUGUUGGUUUUUAGUUAACAUGUUGUUGGUUUUUGAUGAAAUUCUAGCUGCUGGCUUUUGGUGAAUUCAAACCUCUUAUUUGACUUGAAAUGAUUUUAUGCAAAUGAAUAUUGUUCUAAAUGUUGUUUAGGUUGUUGUUCAAGCUAUUGGUUUGUAGCCAAUUCCCUUGAACUGUGACAAAUCAGAAUGUUUGUAGCCCCUAUAUAGUGUUGCUAAUUUCAUAUGCACUAUCAUAGCCAGAACAACUCCCUUGAACAUUUGUAACCAACUCCCUCUAUUUGUUUGUAGCCAAAAAUAUAUAGGAUGACUAUUGUUUUAAAUAUUGAUUGUGUAUGUUUAGGUUGCGUAUGUUCAAAUUGUGUAUGUUAAGAGACUGUAUGUUCAGGUUGUGUAUGUUCAGGUUAUUUGUAGUUGUUGGUGUGUAGUUGGAACCUGUGGUGGGUAUGUUUGUUCAAUAGCGUUUAGUUGAAGGGCAUAUUUGAACUUCUUGUAGAUACACACUAUUAACAAGUGUAGCAAUUUUGCUGAAAGUCAUUCUAAGCUGCACAUUAUAAGCUCAAACCAUCAUUUUGGGUUAAACCAUUGCACUUAGGUUGUUGUAAACUCAUUACAUUAAGAUCAAACUAUUACACAAGCAAAAUUUACAUAAAGUCAUACAUUUCGUUCAUUCAUAUAGUCACAAAAUAUGACUACAUUCCAUCCAAUAUUCAAAGCUUACAUAACUUAACUAUGUAAUACAUAACCAACAACAAACCCAACCAGGAAACACAAUAACAUAACAUAUACAUUUUCUCUCUUCUUUGCAUAUCUCCCAUCAUUUUUAAUAUAGGAAGGAAGAUUUUCAAUAAUAGAAGAUGCCUCCAAAUCAGCAACUAUAUACCUUAAUGAUUUAGUUUCAAGUUGAAUAUCAACAACUUUUUCCUUCAAAUACAUGAUUUCUCUCUAAAAAAAUCAGUUUUUUUCUUCAAGUAAUCGUUUUCACCAAUGUUUGACCAAAAAUGUAUGGGACCUUUUUGUUAAACUAAUUAAAUAAGAAGAUAGAGAGUAAAUCCUAGUUAAGGAUAAUUAAUUCUAGAUCUGAGAUGAAUAACAUGAAUAAAAAAAUAUAGUUGAGUAAAUGCUGGCAGUGAUUAUGGCCAGAUUUAAUAGUAUGAAAAAAGAUGUAUUAAGUAACAUUAAAUGACAAUAAAAUAUAAAUAAAGGAAAAGAUUCACCAAUCUUGAGUGAGGCGGAUCCUCUUUCAUUUGAUAAAGAUGAAUGAUAGACAAAUACACGAAUCUUAGGAUCCUUUUCGGAUCUGAUGGGGGGUAUGGGAUAAAAGAUCAUCUAAUCUCUUUAGAGAGAUGUGUUUGUAUAUUUUCUAGAGAGAGAGUCUGCUUCUCAGAAGUUCCUCCCUCCCCCAUCCAUUCUUCUCUCAUACCCUUUAUAUGAGAUAUCUUAAGGAGCCCUAAACAGUACAAUUAAAGAGAAUAUUCAGUAGAUUAUUCCCUUUAAAGAUUCCAAAGCAAAACUAGCUACUUCUAUAUGUACUGCUCGACCUCGGCCUUGUUGUUGAUCAUUGCUCGACCUCGGCCUUGUUGUUGGUUACUGCUCGACAUCGGCCUUGUUGUUGAUCACUGUUUGACCUCGGCCUUGUUGUUGAUCACUGCUCGACCGCAUGUCGAAUUUCUCUGGUUUGAUUUUGACCCAUACAGUUAGUCCCUCCGCUUAUCGAGGUCGUCUUUUGGUCGAGCUCGAUGAGCGGACUUCAUUAAUCGUAUUUCAACAAAUUUGGAUGGGGAGGUCGACUAGUGAGGAUCGCGGUUGAGGGUGCCGAUCUUCAGGUUAAAAUGGUAUCCCCGCAGUCUGAACUUGAGUAGAAUUCGAUCAGGGCCAAUGACUCGAGUGAUGAGUUGAUCGAGAAGACAUUAGAGUUGGAUAUGGUUGACGAGGCCAGGAUGGUGGCUUUGGCAAGGAUGGCAGCAUCAAAGGAGGUCAUCCGCGUCCUCAGAUCUGGACGGGCGAUUAAGCCCUUGUAAGAUGCCUUUUCUGAUACCUAUUUUGAUUUGGAAUGCUACUUUUGCUUCUUAUUUCUGAUUCUAUUUUUCUUUUCCUUGAACGUUUUCCUCGAUUGAUGGUUUCAAAGGAAUCGUUGGUAGGCAUUAAUUUGAAAGUGAUUGAGUGUCUUUGAUUAGUCCGAGUGAAGUCAAAUUUUGUAAUAUUUAACUCGAACGAGGUUUAGUUGUGAAUCAAGUUCGAGCUAGGUCGAAUACGAGUUAAAUUCGAGAGAGGUCGAAUGUCACUCAACUAGUUUGGACUGUCAAAUUUGUCUUAAUCAGUUCGAACGAGGUCGAGUGUGAGAUAAUUCGAGUGAGGUCAAAGGUUAAUUCAAGCGAGAUCGAAUGAGAGUUAAUUCGAGCGAGGUCAAAUGUUAGUUAAUUCGAGAGAGGUCAAAUGUGAUUCGAGCGAGGUCGAAUGUGAUUCGAGCGAGAUCGAAUGUUAAUUUGAGCAAGGUCGAAUGUGAUUUGAGCGAGGUCGAAUGUUAAUUCAAGUGAGGUUGAAUGUGAUUCGAGCAAGGUUGAAUGUUAAUUCGAGCGAGACCGAAUGUGAUUCGGGCGAGGAGGCCGAAUGUGAUUCGAGCGAGGUCAAAUGUUGAUUCGAGGGCCUGAGGUCGAAUGUGAUUCGAGCGAGGUCGACUGUUGAUUCGAGCAAGGUCGGACGUUGAUUCGAGCGAGGUCAGACGUUGAUUUGAACGAGGUCGGAUGUUGAUUCGAGCGAGGUCGAAUGUUCAUUCGAGGAGGCCGAAUGUUGAUCCGAGCGAGAAGGCCGAGUGUUGAUCCGGGCAAGGCCGAGUGUUGGUCCAGGAGAGGCCGAGUGGUGGUCCGGCGAGGCCUUGUGUUUGUCCGGGCGUGGCUGAAUGUUGGUCUAGGCAUGGCUGAAUGUUGAUUCGAGCAAGACCGAAUGUUGGUUCGAGCGAGGCCGAGUGUUAUUUUGUUUAAUUGAUGCAGCGUCACUUCAGCCAAAAUGCAGGUGAACUUUAUGCACUCAUGCUUUGCCUACAUAUAUCAGAGAGAUUUGCAUGUUUUCUGGUAUGGCAAACCAGUCCUAGUCUAUAUGGUCUCUUGGCAUCUUGGAAUUUACUUUGACGACGAUCGUUCCCUGUUCGCGUAUCGGGGAGAAUGCUCCUGCUUCUAUUCCACUUAGAGAAAUAGUCAGUUAAAACCAAAUGAAAUCAUUCGUUACCUCGAUUUGAUCGAUCGAUGAGUGGAGGGGAGUGACCACGUUCCCUUCUCCGGUUAUGCUUUUAGUGGCCGCUACCAAUUUGGCAAGGCCGUCCAUUUUGAUAUUCUGCGCUCGAGGGAUCUGGUCGAGCUGACAUUCAUCGAACUCGAGUAAUAGCUUCGGCAUGGUAUUUUUGCAGUCUUUGUUCCUUGAUUUGGAAAGUCCCCGUGAUUUGAUUGACAACGAGUUGAGAGUCGCAUCGUAGGACGACUCGUUCUGCUGCGUACUCGAGUGCUAGCUUUAGACCUGCUAUCAUGACCUCAUGUUCGGCUACAUUGUUAGUUAUAUCUGGGCAUCUUAUGGACUAUAAAAUUACUUUGCCUGAUGGGACCUCGAGUUCGAGUCCCAGUCCCGAUCCCGGCGCGUUUGUAACCCAAUCUCGGGUGCACACAACUGAAGGAUACGUAAGCCAUAUCAUAAGCAUAAAGGUAGGACAAGUUUAUCAUUUCCAGAAAAUAACUUUUAUUUUUUUAUUUUUUAUGACCAAAGAGUUCCAGAAAACAUCAUGAGAAUUAGUUGUAGCAGAAACAUUAGCAAUCGAGUAGUCCGCUCCAACAGACCAAGAGCAAAGUAACAAGAUAUUCACAAUGACAAAUGGCCAACAAACUAGGUCUCAAAAUCCGAAAUGAAAGUGACUAAACAGUACCAAUGUAAGUCCAAAUGACUUCACAAAAUAUCACAAGCAGCCAACAGAAAGGCAACGAGACAAGCAAACAGAGAAUAAGUAAUAACUAAACCAACAUGAAAUUAUUGUAAAAUUAACAAGGAACCACUGGUUUUGCAAGCGUUGCCGGAGUUAGAGUUGUUACAUCUUGCGUUUUCGUACGUUAAAGUUUCGCCUUCAGUUAACCGACGUGGACUCGGAAUGAGAUUAUCUUGAGGUUAACGUAUUUAUGCUAUUUAUAACAAGCGAUAAGUAAGUGUCAUGAAUGAUAAAGGACACACAAAUUAAAGAAAAUAAGUUUCGUUGAAGGUGACCGAUUUGUGAUAAAAUACGGGUCGAGUGAUAAUACCCGAUAAUUAUGGACUAAUACCAUGCAAGGUACCAUAUGACCACAGUAGUACGAUGUAUAAAGUAUAUUAAAUAAUAAAUAGAAUUUUAAGUAAUUUGAUAUAAUUCUUAAUUAUACGAAUAAUUGGUUAAUUAUCGGGUAACGGAAUAUUACCUAGUUAAUUAAUAAAAUAAGUAGAUAAGAUUAACCCCUUCUUCCCUUCCAAAAACGUGGCACAAAGCCACCAAUUAAGAAAAUGACUCAUAGUCAUUUACGAGUAGGUGUCUGCCUAAGGUUAAUUGAACUAUUAACAAAGUAAGACUUAUUAUCUUGUUUCCAUUUUCAUUUGGACAAGAGAUCAGAACGUCCUUAAGUCCAAAAUAGGAAUCAUAUAUCAUUUCAUUCUUCCUAGUUCCAAAUACCUCAAGAACAGACGCUAACGAGAAUUUUGCAAAUAAUUCCAACGAAAUUGGCUUCCAACGAAAUUUUGCAAACAAUUUCAACGAGAAUUGUUAGAACCAUAACAAUGUAAAAUUUUGCGGUUCUAAAGGAGUACGGUGCAAUCUUCUCCAAGAGUAUUAUACAGAGUUUUUCCUAUUUCAGGUAUGUUAAGGCCAUCCCUUUUUUCUUUUUGGCAUGGUCCAAGUUAUAUAGAAGAAAUGAGCAAAUGCACAGUUUUCAUAAACGACUCUAUUCAUAGAAAUAUUAGGGGUCUCUGUGUUCUUGAUUUCCCAUGUGACAUAUUAUUAUAUCUUUUGUUCAUGGGUCUCAAAAUAAUACACAGUUGAUAAAGCUUAUACGAAAAGAAUAUUGAGAUUUUUAACAUAUUUUCAUGCAUUUUAUUCAUUUAUGCAUGUACAUUGACCCAUGACCAGACGAUAUUAUAUACGCAUAUUUAUAUGUAUAUAUUUAUGUAUAUGGGAUAUGGAAAAAAAGGUUAUGUCGUUAUAUACGCACCACCACCUGAUCAGUUGGUAUAUAUUGAUGAUGUUGCCCACAGUGCCCGAGACGAUAUGAUGGGAUGCCCUCUGAGGCUUGAUGAUAUUAUGUACACCAUACCUAUGCAUGACACGAUAUUCAUAUGCACGUGCAUGACAUUAUAAAUAUUUCAGAAUUUAUAAGGUGAUUCAGACUUACAACUGGAUUUCUUUAUUCCAUAUUUCAUCUAUGUCCUUUAUGUACUGAAUUUUAUGCCUUACAUACUCAGUACAUUAUUCGUACUGACACCCUAUUUCACGGGGCCUGCGUUUCAUGCUCGCAGGUGCAGGUAGGCAAACUGAUGGUCCCCCUUUUUAGGAUCCUUGAUCAGCGAGAGUUGGCGUACUCCACUUGAUCCUGAGCUGCUUUUGAUUUUGGUACGAUAUGUUUGUAUAUGUAUGGGUAUGACGUGGCUCAAUACCGUCUUUAUAUAGUUAUAUCUCUAUUAGAGGUCUUUAAACAGUAUGUCUAGUUGAAUAGUAUGUGACCUUGCCGACUUCCAAUUUUGAGGUGCAUAGUUGGCUACAGCAGCCUUGUCGGCUCGCCCUACGUGUGUUGCACGUAUAUGUACAUAUGCCUUUUUUUCUUCAUGUAUAUUAUUCUCGUAAUUCAGCAGAUGUUAUUCAUGUUUAUAUCAUAGACUCAUGCUUAGGGGUGUUCGACAGGUAGGACUCGGGCACCCGUCGCGGCCCAUCGGUUUGGGUCGUGACAAAAGUGGUAUCAUAGCAGUUCUAUCCUAGGAUUGUCUACAGACCGUGUCUAGUAGAGUCUUGUUUAUGGGUGUGUUGUGAAAUCACACUUAUAGACAAGAGGCUACAGAACAUAUAGGAUGUUAUCCUGUCUUUUUUAUCUUAGAUCGUGUGAUAUAAGAAUUCAUGUUCCUAAUGAUAUGUUACGUUUUCAGUAAUGCCUUUGAAUACUACAACUGCUAGUACGGGUUAGAAGGCUAUGAACAUGUUAGAAAGAGAUAUAAGUUACACUAUGGAGUCAGACCCAUCGGAGAUCAUGGGUUCUAUUGAGGAGGAUCCAUAUGAGUCAUCUGUUCGAACUGUUUCGGCCACUCCGACAACAGAUGGGGUGAGAGGAGUCCCGACCUCACCAAGGCCCUUAGUUUCAUUAUUACAGCCCGUUGAUCAGGGUAUGAGGAGAGUAGUACAUGGAUCACAGCUGGGUUUCCUUCAAGCUCAAAACUAUGUCAAGGUAUUUGUGGACACCAUCUCUUCUGAGGUUCCAGAUAGUCCACAGUCUUCGGAGUCCGUCAAUCUAGGUUCGCCAGUGUAUGCUAUGAGAUACGUAGAGGAAGAAGAUAGUAGUCAGGCCAAGAGGAAGAAGGUAACUGAUAAGGACAUGAAGAUUCCAUUUCGAAGUGUGUCCGAUCGAGGUUCUCAUAUAGGACGAGGCAAGGACCCUCUACUCUAGACUUCCUCCAAAUGUCAGCUUUUGGUUGGUGAGCUCCACUUCUUUUGGGAAUAUUACCAAUUCACGGAUCGGCAUAUGUUAGGUUGUUUUAUAAGGACGUAGGGAGCUCUGUCCCGACUUGUAGAUAUACUAUGGUUAUGUUUACUUAGAGAUUUUGCAGACAAUAUCUUGUAUAUAGUUUUGGGUAUGACAUAUCUAUGGCCUGGUCGACCCCUAUGUAUAUAAACCCUUUUUAUAAGUUAGUUAUGCAAGUUAUGUUUUAAUAUUGUUACCUAUAUAUACGGAUGCGACCCGAAAUAACCCAUGAUAGAUUUGAGAAUAAACAAGGAUAAAGUACAUGGUGUUCAGUUGGGCAAAACUUGAUAUUAUAAUGGGUAUGGAUUGGUUGUUUUUUUGUUAUUCUAACAUCAAGUGUAGAUCAAAGAUGGUUUGAUUUCAGUUCCUAUCUCAAGGCAAAAAAGAUGAUCAGAAAGGACCAUAUUUAUCACUGAAUUCAGGUUUGGGAUAUGGAAGUAGAGUUAUCAACCAUUCAGUCCUUCCCUGUGGUUAAUAGGUUUCUCGAUGAACAUUAGGGUCUUUCGCCAGAGCGAGAAAUUGAGUUGCUAUUGACCUACUACAAUAUACACAUCCAAUAUCUAUUCCUCCCUAUAGAAUGGCCCUUGCAGAACUAAAAGAGUUGAAGGAAUAACUAAAGGAUUUGCUUGAAAAAGGCUUUAUCAGACCUAGUACAUCACCAUAGGGAGCUUCUAUGUUAUUUGUGAGGAAGAAAGAUGGUUCCUUACGGAUAUGUAUUGAUUAUAAACAAUAGAAUAAGGUGAUGAUCAAGAAUAAGUACCCCACUACUGAGGAUUGAUGAUUUAUUUGAUCAGUUGCAAGGUGACAAGUGUUUUUUUAAGAUAGACUUGAGGUCCGGGUACCCAUCAGGUAAGGGUUAAGGAGGAAGAUAUUCCAAAGACAGCAUUCAGGACCAUAUACGGGCACUUUUAGUUUCAUGUUAUGUCAUUCGGUUUGACCAAAUGCCCCAGCAGUAUCAUGGAUUUGAUGAACCGUGUGUUCGGGAUCUUCUUAGAUCUGUUCGUAAUUGUAUUUAUCGACAAUAUAUAUAUUGGUAUAUUCUCGUUUAGAGGUUGAGCAUGCAGAUCACUUGCGUACUGUGCUUAGAGUUCUACAAAAGGGAAGUUGUAUGCAAAACUCUCUAAAUGUGAAUUUUGGUUGAACUCUGUAGCUUUCCUUGGGCAUAUCAUUUCGGGUGAAGGCAUCCGGGUGGAUACACAAAAGAUUGAGGCAGUGAAGACUUGGCCUAGACCCACAACACCGAUGGAGGUUCGUAGCUUCUCCGUUUGGCAGGUUAUUACAGGAAACCUGUAACGGAAUUUUCUUCUCUUUUAGCAUCUUUGACCAACGUGGUAUGUGGUGUCUUGCUUGAUGUUCCAGAAUAAUAUAAGGAAAUCUAUGGUGCAAGCACGUUGAAGGAAGUUGGGAAUAAGUAUAAAUAGAUAUGUGUAGGUCGCAAGCUAAAGUAUGGUAGAGCGGCAAGGUUUUAGGAAGACAGGAGGAAAGAUAAGAAAAGAUGAGUAAGGUGACGAGAAUGAAUAAGUCUUGGGGUUAAGCUCAUAAGAGAGCUAAUGGUUUCUCUAAGUUAUAGAAGGCUCAGUAUAACCUAAAUAAACUCAAAGGAGUCUAAGACUAGUAACGUUUAGAAUAGAUGAAAUGCUGCCCUAGUAGUGGAAUAAAAGCGUAAUUGUGAUGAAUAAAGAAUGAAGUUUGGGCCUUCGAAGAGCGAAAUUUCAUGAAUUGUAAAAAGAAUAGAAUACCCAUGUAAGUUAACUCAGAAGGGAGCUAAGUUUCGAUGGACUGAUACUUGUGAAUGGAGUUUCUAGGUAUUGAAGGACAGAUUAACUUCAGCACUGGUUCUAAUGCUCCCAGAAGGGACCGAUGGUUAUGUUAUCUAUUGUUACGCUUCAGGUGUUGGAUUGGGUUGUGUGCUGAUGCAGCAUGGUAAGGUUGUAGCUUAUGCUUCUAUACAACUAAGAAAGCACGAGAAGAAUUACCCCGACCCACGAUUUAGAGUUAGCUGCAGUGAUUCAUGCACUAAAGGUGUGGAGGCACUACUUGUAUGGAAUUCAUAUUGAUAUCUAUGCAGAUCAUAAGAGCCUCUAGUAUUUCUUCAAGCAAAAGGAAUUGAAUUUACGUCAAAGGAGAUGGUUGGAGCUACUUAAAGACUAUGACAUUGAUAUUUUAUACCAUCCGGGGAAGGCGAACAUAGUAGCCGAUGCCCUCAAUCGUAGAUCCAUGGGUAGCCUGUCAUAUUUACAGCCAGAAAAGAGGGGAAUUGCCCAUGAGAUUCAUUAGCUAGCUAGUCUUGGAAUUCGGUUACGGGACUCAGGUGAUAUUGGAAUUACUAUUCAGGAUACAACAACAUCCUCUUUAGUAACUGAAGCAAAGGAAUGCCAGUACGAGGAUCUUGUGUUAGUUCAUUAUAGGGAUACCUCCCCCCCAGAAAAAAAGACACCGUUUGAAAUUACAGAAGAUGGGUUCCUCAGAUAUCGAGGACGAUUAUGUGUCCCUAAUGUUGCAGCGCUGUGUCGGUAGGUUAUGGGAGAAACUCGCUAUUCUCGUUAUCCUAUCCAUCCAGGAGCGACAAAGAUGUAUCAUGAUAUCAGGGAAGUAUAUUGGUGGGGCGGAAUGAAAAAGGAUAUAGUAGAGUUUGUUGCCCAGUGUCCUAAUUGUCAGCAAGUUAAGAUUAAACACCAAAAAUCCGGUGGAUUAUUGCAGGCUAUGGAGAUUCUGACUUGGAAAUGGGAAGUAAUCAAUACGAAUUUCAUCGUAGGCUCACCUCGUACCCAACAUAAGUUCGAUUCGAUAUAGUUGAUUGUUGAUAGGCUUACAAAGUCAGCCUAUUUUCUGCCCAUUAGGACUACAUAUUCCGCCGAGGAUUAUGCAAGGUUUUAUAUUAAGGAGAUAGUACGACUGCAUAGUGUCCCUGUAUCUAUUAUCUCGAAUAAAGGAGCUCAAUUUACAGCUAACUUUUGGAGGAGGAUUGGGGAUUCAGGUAAGUCUUAGUAUGGCAUUCCAUCCCCAGACAGACGGACAGGCUAAGCGUAUUAUUCAGACACUUGAAGAUAUGUUACGAGCUUGUGUGAUAGACUUCAAGGGUAGCUGGGAUGAUCAUCUGUCGCUUAUUGAGUUCGCAUAUAAUACUAGCUACCAUUCCAGUAUUCAGAUGGCUCCAUACGAAGCUUUAUAUGGACAGAAGUGUAGAUCGCCUAUUGUCACGAUCCCAAACCAGACCCGGUCGUGAUGGCGCCUCUUGUGAAGACAAGGCUAGCUGACACAGUUCCCAAAUUCAGUUUUUAACAGUUUAAUAAGUCAAUUUAAGUCAUUUAUAAGGAUAAAUCCCCAACAAGUAUAGAUUUAGCGAAAUAAACAAGUGCGGAAAUAAAUACAGCCCGAUGUCACACCUCCUUUUUACCACCCGAGAGGGGGAAAUAUAUGGACUUUUUUCCAAUUUAAGUGACAAUCGAAACGGGAUAAUUUAUUUAUUAAAUUCAGAGUCGCCACUUGGGAUGAUUUAUGGUGUCCCAAGUUACCGGUUUGGAAUCCCGAAUCGAGGAAAGAUUAACUCUGUAUUACAGUCCGCGAACACAAAAAUUCGGGUAAGGAAUUCUGUUAACCCGGGAGAAGGUAUGAGGCAUUCCCAGAUUCAGUGGUUCUAGCACGGUCGCUCAACUAUUAUAAUUGGCCUAUUAUCUGAUUUUAAUACAUCUUUGAAACCUAUGUGCAUUUUAACUUUAAAAUCGCUUAUAUAUUUUUUGUGAAAAUUCAAGGUUAUUUAAAACACAUCGUAAGCCACGCUACAUGAAAUGCACCCGCGGUUCACGACACGCUUUAUUUAACCUUGUUGGAAGUUGGAGUCGGGUCACAUGAAAUGAACACCCGAACCUCUUUAAUCUAAUUUGACGUAGUUCAGUUGAUGGAUAGCAACCCAAUUUCUAUAUUGUGACAAAAUCAUGUUCAGUUAUAACCAAUUCGAAUAAACACGAACAUAUAACUGAGCAAGCAAAUUCAAAACCACGGAAAAUAUUUACAGAAACAACGGGAUUGCAUCACCAAACAAAUAAUUAACAUCAAGCUCGAAUAAAACAAAUAGAGAAUGAAAGAGUUGACCUUAAUAUAGUCGGAAAAUUGAUCGUUUCGCUGUUUUGAACUCAUAAAUGUGACAAACCGCAGACGGACCUCAACUUAGCACCACAAAACUCAAACAAACCCGGAUUCAACCCCAAACGAGCUCCACCAAUGAACUUCCGACAUUAAAACUCCAACUCAGUUUCUGUUUUGAUUUUGCUCUUUUCGAAAUGAUAUUAAAUCAAAAGGAACCAGCAAAGAGGAACCAACAAAUCAGUUGUCACCGCAUAGGUACAAAGAGACAUGAAAAUGGCUACUUAUGCAAAAUCAGCAGAAACAGAAAAGAAGAAACCAAUAGAACAGAUUAAGGUGAGCUCUCUUCAAUUAAAAUUUCCCUCUGAGUAGUAUACACAAGCAAAAACGAAACCAUGGCCAACUCUUUCACUAUGUGAAAAUCAGCAAGUACACAUAAAUCCGACAAUGAAAAUUUGAACGAAAACAACAACAAAUCGCUACAAGGACUUAAACCAACAAAAAUCGACCUCGACUAACACCUCAGAUAGGAAUCUGAAUAAAAAAUCAGAAGAAAACCAGAAGUCGACAUGAAAAUCGAAAGGAUUGAGUUCGAAAUCUAAUGAAAUAAAAGAAAAUCCCGUCCGUUCACCUCCCCUGUUCUCACUGUCCGUUUGGUGUGUUCAGAGGAAGACGAGUCCUUGUUUUUGAGGUCUAGGUUUGCUGUUCUCUUUUUCAGUAAGAGUGAGAUGUGGGAGAUGGGAGCUUGGCGAAGGUGAGUAGGGGUGUGUGUUCAACGGCUGGUCUUGAAUGGUCGACCAGACCCACCAGUGAUCAAAUCCGGCGACUGGUGAGAGAAGCUUAGGGAGUUUGACCUUCUGCUUCGGAGAUGUUGAUAAGGAUGUGGCUCUGGAGGAAUUAAGAGUGGCUCUUUGGCGUGUAGGUCUGGAGGUGAUCAACGGCUGGUGGUCGACUGAUGUUCCGCCGGUGGUGAGGAAAAAGGGGGGUCGUUUGGAGAAGAUGAAGUUAGGGGGUGGGGGUACGAUUUGUUUUUGGUUGUUUGUUGAAAUUGUAGCACUUCAGAUCUUUUGCAGAGUCUCCCCUCUAUUCUCGUCCCCCCAGCUCAUUUUGGUGUUACCCCUAUCCCUUCUUUAUUGUAGAGUCUAG